ACAAAAUAUAACACACAAUUGUUGAACCAUACCAAACUGUUGCCUCGGCGGGGUCACGCCCCGGGUGCGUCGCAGCCCCGGAACCAGGCGCCCGCCGGAGGGACCAACCAAACUCUUUUCUGUAGUCCCCUCGCGGACGUUAUUUCUUACAGCUCUGAGCAAAAAUUCAAAAUGAAUCAAAACUUUCAACAACGGAUCUCUUGGUUCUGGCAUCGAUGAAGAACGCAGCGAAAUGCGAUAAGUAAUGUGAAUUGCAGAAUUCAGUGAAUCAUCGAAUCUUUGAACGCACAUUGCGCCCGCCAGUAUUCUGGCGGGCAUGCCUGUCCGAGCGUCAUUUCAACCCUCGAACCCCUCCGGGGGGUCGGCGUUGGGGACCUCGGGAGCCCCUAAGACGGGAUCCCGGCCCCGAAAUACAGUGGCGGUCUCGCCGCAGCCUCUCCUGCGCAGUAGUUUGCACAACUCGCACCGGGAGCGCGGCGCGUCCACGUCCGUAAAACACCCAACUUUCUGAAAUGUUGACCUCGGAUCAGGUAGGAAUACCCGCUGAACUUAAGCAUAUCA
rnacentral:rRNA from 1 species